rnacentral:rRNA from 1 species
AGCGUAGACGGUUCUGCAAGUCUGGUGUGAAAGCCCGGGGCUCAACCCCGGGACUGCAUUGGAAACUGUGGAACUAGAGUGCAGGAGAGGUAAGUGGAAUUCCUAGUGUAGCGGUGAAAUGCGUAGAUAUUAGGAGGAACACCAGUGGCGAAGGCGGCUUACUGGACUGUAACUGACGUUGAGGCUCGAAAGCGUGGGGAGCAAACAG